GUCCCAGUCUCCAGCAGACUAGCAGAGCUCCAUGCUCCUGACACCCGUAUAGGCUGCGUUAAGCAGAUAUCCUGCUAUGGUGAACGUCAGCUGGCUGUUUGUAUUGCGUUUCCUCCAGUGGAUGCGUGAGCCUGUUUGGGAGUAGUGUCCUCUGGCUGCCUUACCUGGGGCGACAACUUUCUCAGCUCCCAGCUGACAGGAGCCGCUGCUGUCCUGUUUCGUCUUGUCCUGUUUUGCCCUGUCCUGUACGGCCUGGUGUCAUUCUGUGCCGCCCUGUUUUCGCUGUUCGUCAAUGAGAGUUGGGCUUUUGCCGCUGUCUUCAUCACCGCGUUCUGGUCCUGGGUCCCGCUGCCGCUUGGGUCGUGGCCACAGUGUGUCCGCUGGCAGACGGUAGCGGUAUCAGCUGCGGUGCUCGGCCUUGUGCAGAUAGCUUAAGCCAUCUCUGAGGCUUAGUUUUGACGUGGUUUCAUACCCAGUGUUUUAACAAGUGUGAGGCAUUCACUGUUCCAUGAUUUUGCUCAUUUGUUUAUUUUUUUGUUUGUCCUGUAUUGAUUGUUUUUAUUUUAUUUCAGUUGCUGGAGGCCGUGGGUGGUGGCAGUACUAGUGGCUUGGGUGGUGGUUUCCCCUUACCCCUGGUUUUCGUGUUUGCUGUGGUUUCCUGGGAUUGGAGUCUUCACUCAGGGUGUGGUCAUCACGUGUCUGGGUGAUUUUUAGUUUGCUUUAAAGUCUUUUGUUGUUUUGGGAUUCCAUCCCCCCCUCUGUGCCCUAUAGGCCCCCCAGCUAUUGGUAAAUG